AUGUACUCACUCUGUACACUCCGGUUCCUGCGCACUGGUUCGAUCAAUACGGUACGCACCCGGCUGAAGGCUGCUCGCGACGUUUUUCAACA
rnacentral:sRNA from 1 species